GCUUCACUAGCUCAGUCGGAAGAGCGUCAGUCUCAUAAUCUGAAGGUCGAGAGUUCGAACCUCCCGUGGAGCA
rfam:Zygosaccharomyces rouxii strain CBS732 chromosome A complete sequence.